CUGAACUCGAGUAGGGCCCAAGCCAGCCAGGAAGGAGGAGGCAGCCAGAGAGGCCUCCACUGGUCUCUGCAGCAGAAGACCCCUUGCUGCCAGAAGCAUGGUAUUCAACUGGAUAAAGGAAACGCGGAGGGAAGAGGCACACUGAAUCUCACUUUUAUGUAUGAGAUUUCUUCAGGAAGUAAAAUGAGGACAUGCCUCUCAGACCACAGAGUGCAACUUUUUUCUUAGGAAGUCACAACGAACUCUGCAAUUGCCAAAAAAAUGGCCUGACAGCCCAAGCCUUGCGUUUAUGCUUUAUUAUAAUUAGAAGCUGCUUGUGCCCUAUUAACACAAUACUUUGUAAUUUGAACAUACUUGUCUUUAGACAAUUAUGGUUAUGCACUCCCUUCCUUUAUCCCGUUUCCUAGGAGAUUAUUAAAACACGAAUAAUAAUAAUAAUGUACCAUGUAUUCCAGACAUCUGAAGACGCAUACCAGACCCACCAGGGGAAAUAAAUCACAUUUUCACAGGCA